UACCAAAUUAACUGACGUCAUUGGAAAGUACAAAAAACGGCGAGAUACCUUCGUUGUKAGUGUAUUUCAAAGAGCUGCUUCUUGUACUUGCAAGACUGGAUAUAGAGAGAGGCAUUUCAAAAGUUAGUCAGAUGUCUCAACUACAUUUCUCGCAUUCCCAAACCCUUCUGGGYCUUGCUAUGAUAAUGGUGAUCUUGAUGUCAACGUCAUGGGCMCGACCACGUGACAGGCUUAUGUCAAUGGUUUUAGAUUUUCCUGACGAGUUUCCAGUUUACAGAACUGCGCAUGCGCCCAUGAGUAGGAAAAGAAACCUUGUAUUGUCGUCAAGAAUUGCYGAGCCAUGUUUUCCAAUGUGUCUUCCAAACAAAGAAACGAAUAAACCAAGUGGAAGAUGAUGUUUUUAGACAUUAGAUAUAUUGAAUAAAAGCGAUUUUUCWGCGGAAUGCUUGUAAGAUAUAUUGAUUAGUGGUCAUUGCCAAUAAAUGAUGGAUGGGA